rnacentral:rRNA from 1 species
GAUGAACGCUGGCGGCGUGCCUAAUACAUGCAAGUCGAGCGAACAGAUAAGGAGCUUGCUCCUUUGACGUUAGCGGCGGACGGGUGAGUAACACGUGGAUAACCUACCUAUAAGACUGGGAUAACUUCGGGAAACCGGAGCUAAUACCGGAUAACAUAUUGAACCGCAUGGUUCAAUAGUGAAAGGCGGCUUUGCUGUCACUUAUAGAUGGAUCCGCGCCGUAUUAGCUAGUUGGUAAGGUAACGGCUUACCAAGGCAACGAUACGUAGCCGACCUGAGAGGGUGAUCGGCCACACUGGAACUGAGACACGGUCCAGACUCCUACGGGAGGCAGCAGUAGGGAAUCUUCCGCAAUGGGCGAAAGCCUGACGGAGCAACGCCGCGUGAGUGAUGAAGGUCUUCGGAUCGUAAAACUCUGUUAUCAGGGAAGAACAAAUGUGUUAGUAACUGUGCACAUCUUGACGGUACCUGAUCAGAAAGCCACGGCUAACUACGUG